GACGAACGCUGGCGGCGUGCCUAAUACAUGCAAGUAGAACGCUGAAGGAGGAGCUUGCUUCUCUGGAUGAGUUGCGAACGGGUGAGUAACGCGUAGGUAACCUGCCUGGUAGCGGGGGAUAACUAUUGGAGACGAUAGCUAAUACCGCAUAAUAGUAGAUGUUGCAUGACAUUUGCUUAAAAGGUGCAAUUGCAUCACUACCAGAUGGACCUGCGUUGUAUUAGCUAGUUGGUGGGGUAACGGCUCACCAAGGCGACGAUACAUAGCCGACCUGAGAGGGUGAUCGGCCACACUGGGACUGAGACACGGCCCAGACUCCUACGGGAGGCAGCAGUAGGGAAUCUUCGGCAAUGGACGGAAGUCUGACCGAGCAACGCCGCGUGAGUGAAGAAGGUUUUCGGAUCGUAAAGCUCUGUUGUAAGAGAAGAACGAGUGUGAGAGUGGAAAGUUCACACUGUGACGGUAUCUUACCAGAAAGGGACGGCUAACUACGUG
rnacentral:rRNA from 1 species